GAGAACAGUCAAGACCAUCCUCCUUUGGAACCUCCUUUCAGGUAGCUUGAAAGCACUAUCAAAUCUCCCCCAUUCCUUCUCUCUCAGACUAAAGAAUCCCAAUUCCCUGGUCAUU